GAUGAACGCUGGCGGCGUGCCUAAUACAUGCAAGUCGAGCGAACGGACGAGAAGCUUGCUUCUCUGAUGUUAGCGGCGGACGGGCGAGUAACACGUGGAUAACCUACCUAUAAGACUGGGAUAACUUCGGGAAACCGGAGCUAAUACCGGAUAAUAUUUUGAACCGCAUGGUUCAAAAGUGAAAGACGGUCUUGCUGUCACUUAUAGAUGGAUCCGCGCUGCAUUAGCUAGUUGGUAAGGUAACGGCUUACCAAGGCAACGAUGCAUAGCCGACCUGAGAGGGUGAUCGGCCACACUGGAACUGAGACACGGUCCAGACUCCUACGGGAGGCAGCAGUAGGGAAUCUUCCGCAAUGGGCGAAAGCCUGACGGAGCAACGCCGCGUGAGUGAUGAAGGUCUUCGGAUCGUAAAACUCUGUUAUUAGGGAAGAACAUAUGUGUAAGUAACUGUGCACAUCUUGACGGUACCUAAUCAGAAAGCCACGGCUAACUACGUGCCAGCAGCCGCGGUAAUACGUAGGUGGCAAGCGUUAUCCGGAAUUAUUGGGCGUAAAGCGCGCGUAGGCGGUUUUUUAAGUCUGAUGUGAAAGCCCACGGCUCAACCGUGGAGGGUCAUUGGAAACUGGAAAACUUGAGUGCAGAAGAGGAAAGUGGAAUUCCAUGUGUAGCGGUGAAAUGCGCAGAGAUAUGGAGGAACACCAGUGGCGAAGGCGACUUUCUGGUCUGUAACUGACGCUGAUGUGCGAAAGCGUGGGGAUCAAACAGGAUUAGAUACCCUGGUAGUCCACGCCGUAAACGAUGAGUGCUAAGUGUUAGGGGGUUUCCGCCCCUUAGUGCUGCAGCUAACGCAUUAAGCACUCCGCCUGGGGAGUACGACCGCAAGGUUGAAACUCGAAGGAAUUGACGGGGACCCGCACAAGCGGUGGAGCAUGUGGUUUAAUUCGAAGCAACGCGAAGAACCUUACCAAAUCUUGACAUCCUUUGACAACUCUAGAGAUAGAGCCUUCCCCUUCGGGGGACAAAGUGACAGGUGGUGCAUGGUUGUCGUCAGCUCGUGUCGUGAGAUGUUGGGUUAAGUCCCGCAACGAGCGCAACCCUUAAGCUUAGUUGCCAUCAUUAAGUUGGGCACUCUAAGUUGACUGCCGGUGACAAACCGGAGGAAGGUGGGGAUGACGUCAAAUCAUCAUGCCCCUUAUGAUUUGGGCUACACACGUGCUACAAUGGACAAUACAAAGGGCAGCGAAACCGCGAGGUCAAGCAAAUCCCAUAAAGUCGUUCUCAGUUCGGAUUGUAGUCUGCAACUCGACUACAUGAAGCUGGAAUCGCUAGUAAUCGUAGAUCAGCAUGCUACGGUGAAUACGUUCCCGGGUCU
rnacentral:rRNA from 1 species